rnacentral:lncRNA from 1 species
GUGAGCACAGAGCGAACUAUUCUUUCGCCUUUUACUAAAGAAUACCGUGUGAGCGCUGCACUCGGUGGCAUACGCCAAUUUUUGGAGGGGUUCUCUUCUUUAGAGUACCCCCUACAACUCUAGCUCCAAUCAUUUCUUUGUUUAGAAAGGGAAAGUCUGUGAGGGAUCUCUUAAGCAUCUUUUCUUCUGGUUAUUUUCAUCAGCUCAGAAAUGAACUACAGGUGAUCCUGAACUGUCUUUACAAUGUAGUUGCUGCAACAUAGGAGUACUGUUUUAUUGUUUAAUGUAUACUAGUAUUUGCUAGGAGCUGUUAAUGGUUUUGACCUAGCGGCCAAAUAUGUAAUUUCCCCUUUUUUGAAAAAUUAAAAUUAAAAUAUUUUUGCAAGAGUUUAAUUUUGGGAAUCUUACAUAAAUGUAUCAAAUAAGUACUAACUUACCAACCUCUAGCCAUUAAUCAUAUACUUACCAAAACUAGCCAACUACAUACAAAUUGAAAACCCUAAUAAAUAAUGUUAUUUCUCAAUCACAUGCAAAGAACGCAAGACAGAAAGGAAAUUCAUGAAUGAGGUAGCAAACAAGGUAUGUAUACAAGAUUCCAAAAAUCUAAGCACAAAAGGAUCUUUUUCAAUGUGUACGGUUGAAAUUUAUUGAAAAUAUAUAGAUGAGUCAAUAUACAAAAUUUGAGGAAAAUUAGAGGUGAUUUGGACUAAUUUUGUAACGACCCGACUGGUCGUUUUGCCUUUUAGAACCCCGUUUCCUUAAAUAAAAUUUUCCGUACCUGCUUUAGCUAAUUUACGACUUACGGGGACGGUUGGUUCGGGAUUUGGAAGAGUUUGGAGUGAAAUAUGCCCCAUUUGAUUCCUUAGGAUUUUCUUAAAAAAGGCUAAGCUUGACUUUGGUCAACAUUUUGAGCAAACGGACCCGGAAUCGUAAUUUGACGGUCCCGGAGGGUCCGCAGGAAAAUAUGGGACCUAGGCAUAUGUCCGAAAUCGAAUUCCGAGAUCCCUAGCCCGAGUAAUGAAUUUUUAUUAGAAAUUAUUAAUUUGAAGUUUUAAGGAUGUAAAGAAACUAAUUAAUGGGUAUCGGGCUCGUGUGUUGGUUCCGAAGUCCGGUACAGGUCCGAAAUAUCAUUUAAGACUUACCCGCAAAAUUUGGUGUCAAUCCGAGUAGUUUUAGGGCGUUUUGGCUCGUUAGAGGAAAAUUAAGAACUUGAAGUUCAUAAGUUUGAUUUAUUUGGUUUUAGGGGGUGAUUCUUAGAUUUAGCAAUGUUUCGGGCGUUCCGAAGGUUCAAGUAGGUCCGUCUCGUGAUUUCAGACUUGACGGUAUGUUCGGGCAUGGCCCGGGAGCCUCGAGCGUCAAUCGGACGAGGCUCGAGUGAGGUUGAAAUUUUUGAGAAGUGCUAAAGCUACUGCUUCUGUCAUAACCACACCUGCGGUUGGUGGAACGCAUGUGCGAGACCGCAGAUGCGGCCCAGGGAAGGCCAUGCCAAACCGCAGAAGCGGCCUCAAGACCGCAGAAGCGGUCCCAGCCCUUUUAGUCCCUUUCGUAGAUGCGGUCCCCUGACCGCAAAUGCGGAAAUCGCUAAAGCAGUAAGGUUCAUUUAAUACGGGUUCUAAGUCAUUUUUAUCACUUUUCACUCCUCCAUGGGCGAUUUUGGGAGCUUUUGAGAGAAGACUUCCACCUAGCAUCUUGAGGUAAGUCUAUCCCACUAAUUCUUGGGUUAAUACUUGUGUCUUAGGUAGAUUAAACACUAGAAUUUAGGUAAAAUCAAGGGGUUAGAGCAAAACCUAGGGUUUUAAUAAAAGUUAGAUUUAACCACAAAAUAUUUUAUGGAAUAAAUUAGAAAUCAUAUAUUAGUGAUCCUUAGGUUAUAGAGAACAACUUCCUUCGAAAAUUUCGGAAUCCCGGCACGUGGGCCUGGGGUUGGAUUUUAGGAAACUUGUGUUAAAGGUUGGAAAAUUGCUUAAGUAGCUAGAAUUCGAUCUUGUGAGUCUAUAUUGACUAGUUCCUACCUCAUUUAACUAGUUUGGGAUCGUCGGCUACGAAUUGAGGGCUUGGACACAUUCUUGGUAUUGGAAGUGCACUUUAGAGCGAGGUGAGUCUCCUUUCUAACCUUGUAAGAGGGAAUUGUCCCCAUAGGUGUAAUAAUUGACUUAAUUGCUAUUAUAUGCGGGGGCUACGUACGCACUAGGUGACAAGAGUCCGUGCGUAGCCACUAUUAUGUUAAGUCUGGGUAGUCUAGGAUCCAAAAGCAUGCUCUACGUGAUGUUCUUGUAACUUGAUGAUAAAUUCGGAUUCGUAUAAAUUAUGUUGAAUAAGGUAAAUGAGACUAGUAGAGGAACCUUAUCCUGCUUGGUCUUGUAAAAGAGAAUUUGGAUAUUCCAGUGAACAACUACUCCUCAGAUAUACAUUAUUUUCUGCUUGAUUGAUGAGUUUAUUUAUAUUUGACCGCGUCACACGUGUGAUUCGCGAGCAGAGUAAUAGAUGCAUCUAUGGUUCGAGCCAUUCGACCCUCUGCAGUGCACAAUUUACUUUUAUGUUAGAUCGGGUUGUACAUCCCUCGGUGUUACUUGCACAUGCUUUACCUAGUAUUUCUCUGUGGACUGAACUUCAUAUAUGCCUUGAAACGUAAAUGGAUACCCAUGAUAUUAUUUGGAAAAAGAACUGUUAUUCCUUGUCAUAUAAUGCUAAUAAAUUGUGCUAUCCAUGCUUAUUAUAAAUUCUUUCUCAUAUUAUUUGACCCUAGUAAGUAUCAAGUCGACCUCUCGUCUCUACUUCUUUGAGAUUAGACGGGAUACUUACUGGGUACAUAUUGUUUAUGUACGUAUACUACACUUCUGUACUUAAUUGUACAGGAUCUGAGGUAGGUGUAUCUGGCUAUCAGUCUGGUGCGUAUCCUUGAGUGGAGUUCGAGACUUCUACGGUGAGCUGCUUCCCUUUUCGUGCCGUUUAGCAGCCUGAAGGAGUCUCUCUUAUGUAUUUUGCUGUCUAUUCUAUUUCGGACAGUAGGAUAGUGUGAUUCUUUUGUAUAUUCUACUAGUUGCCCACAACUUGUGACACCAGGUGUUGGCACACACAUUAGUAGACUGUAUUAUUUUUGGGAUUGUAUGAUUAUUUUGA